rnacentral:lncRNA from 1 species
UAUUUUUUGCAAAACCAACAAUUUUAAUAAUUUGGAAGGUCUACUAAUUGAAAAAAAAAAUUUUGCAUUUAAUUUUUUUUUAAGCGUAAAAUAUAACGAGCAAAAAAAUAAAAAAAAAAGUAAGAAAUUGAAAAAAAAUGAAGUUAUCGAAUAUGAUGAUGAUAUAGUUGAAGAUAAUGAUAAAUUAUACAUGUACUACCUUUUAGAAAAUGAAAAAGUUUUUAUAGAUAAUGUAUGUGGAGGGGACAUAAAAAUAUCUCUAACUGACAAAAGUUGUGAUGGUUCAGAAAGCGAAGCGAGUGGGGAAGUAGUAAUUAAUACUGUUACAAACGAAAAAAAUGAUGAUAUAGUAACAAUUAAAUCGGAAGAAGAUUUAAAAAAUAAACAAGACGUACAAGAUGUAAGUGCCACACAAGACGUACAAGACGUACAAGACGUAGGUGUCACACAAGAACUACCAGACGAUGGUGCCACAUCAAGUGGUGACUACGAAAUAGAAAAACUAAUAAAAAAGAAUGUGAAAAUUCUGAUUCAAAAUAAUUUUUUUUUUUAUAUAAAAUAUUAUAUUCAUAACAUUUUGAGUAAUGUUGAUAUAUGUACCCAUGACAAACCGAAUGAAUCAUUUUUUGAAUUUUUUAGCAUUUUUAAAAAUAAUAAGAAAAAAAUUUAUUUUGAAUGUUCAAAUAGUGACACAUUAAGUGAUAUAUAUUGUGAUGUUUCUUACGCAUCUGACGACAGCGAUUACAACUAUUUUUAUGAAAAGGCUAAUCAGUUGAAUGAUUGUGAGGAUGACAACAUGAGUGAAUACGAGGAAGAGGAAAUGGAUGAAAACUGUGACGAUGAAAACAUAAGUAGAGAUGGUAGUGAUAAUGCGAAUAGUGAUAAUGCAAAUAAUGGUGCAAAUAAUGGUACAAAUAAUGGUGCAAAUAAUGUUGCAAAUAAUGGUGAAAAUAAUGAUGCAAAUAAUGGUGCAAAUAAUGGUGAAAAUAAUGGUGCAAAUAAUGGUGAAAAUAAUGAUGCAAAUAAUGAUGCAAAUAAUGAUGCAAAUAAUGAUGCAAAUAAUGAUGCAAAUAAUGAUGCAAAUAAUGAUGCAAAUAAUGGUGAAACUAAUGGUGAAAAUACCGGUACCAUUAAAAAUAAGAACAAAUGUAACAGUAGAAAAAAAACAAAUAUGAUACAAUGGGAUAAAAAGAAUUCAAUAUCGUGUGUAGAAGAUGAUAAAAAAAAAAAAAGAAACAAAAAUAUAAAAUUUGAAAAAUAUUUAUGUAGAUGUUGUAAAAGAAAAAAAAACAUUUUAAAUAAUGCUAUUAUUAAUAGUGUUCUUAACAACACUCCUACAAACAGUAAUAAUGAAAAUUUGUUUUUUCUUAAAAAUUCUUUUGUAUGUUUACUACAGAUUUUUAUAUCUAAUUUAACUAAUAAUGAACUAUUAUUUUGGUUAGAAAUAAAAAAUAGUAUAGAAAAUUACUUGGGUAUUAUACAGUCGUGUAUAUAUGAUAAAGGAAUAUGUAAUUAUAUUGAAGUGCCUUUUAUUGAGAUUAUGAGCAAAAUAAAAAGAAUUUCUAAAAAAAGAAAAUAUUUAAAUUUUAUAAAAAAGAAAACUAAAAUAAUUGUUUUAAAUAAAAAACAAAAAAGUAUUAAAUGUCUAUUUGAAAAAACAUUAAAUUCGAUUAGAAUUUCGUUAAAAUAUAGUCUGUUAUGUACGAAUGAUAAAUUUCAUUACUUUUUUAAAGACAUUAUACAAAAAUAUAAAAAAUUUAUGAAAAAAAAUAUUUUUAAUAAUGAAUUUCUUAUACAUUGUGAUAGUGAUAAUUUAUCAUCACAACAUUAUCAUUACAAAUAUAAAAAUAACAUACAUAAUUAUUUAAAUCCAAUUGUUUUUAAAAAUAAAAAAAAAAAAAAUUAUAAUUUCUCAUUACUAAUUCAUUAUAAUCACAUACAAAUGUAUGGUUAUACAUAUAUUAGAAAUUAUUUAUUUUUUUUGUUAAUUAUGUUUGAAGUUUAUAUGUUUAUUCACUUUAAUGACAUAAGUUACACAUAUUCAAAUAACACCGACAUUUUUUUACAUCAAAUUUUGAAAAAUUUGUUUAUUUAACGUAGGUAUAUACAUGAAAGAAUAUAUACAUAUAUAUAUAUAUAUAUGUAUAUAUACAUAAAUAUUAUAGUAGAGUGUGUGGGUGAAUAAACUAAGUGUAGAAACGGUUAUAUAAGUUACG